UUCCGCAGCCCAGUAUAAAUGCAGAGCAUGGGAGCUGUGGACCUUGACUUGAAGAGAAAGUGCAGGUCUUGAGAGAGGGGAACUGAAAAACCAAGAAGACAGCUGGUGAGAGAAGAGGAGAAAAGAGAAGACAAGGUGGCUGUCAGGGUGCAGCAGACAGCCAAGUUAAGAGUUAAGACAAAGAUGAGGAACAGGGUGAGGUCAGAAUCCAGGAGGGAGCUACUGAGGGCCAGGUCGGGGGUGACGGAUCCAAGGAAGGACAGCAAGGCCUUGAUAAGAUGCAGUGGACCCAGAGGAGAGGUGAGGCCAGCUGGCUCUGUACUGCUGAGCCGCAGGAUUUGGAGUUGCUGUCAACUUCGAGGCUGCUGUUAAACCAGGGGGCUGCCAAAUAUUUUCAAGCGGUGACCAGGCCAGGAGUCUGAAGACUAAGAAGCAUGCAUUCUGGAUGAAUUGAAAAUCGAUGAGAUAUAGAGGCUCAGAGAAGGAAUAUUAACCCAGCACCAAAGUCUCCUAGCUCUUCUGGGGCCAGGCCCGGGAAAGAGGUGAGAAUGGACAGUUGGCAGUGACUGCUGGCCCCAGUGACUCUUAUUUUCUUAGCCCCGAAUCACAUGUGUCAUCUGACCCACCGUUCCAGCACGUGUGGAACAUCCUGGACUCUUGGAUCUACUGCUGCAUCUUCUAGAGAGUGAGGUGUUCAGUUGCCCUCCUGAGAGCAGCGCCUCCCUCCCCACCCCGCUCAGCAGCCUGGCAUGAAGGCAGGGAAUGUGUACUGUACCCCCGGUGCCAGACGUGGGAGGCACCCAGAGUUGUGGAAUGAAUGAAUACAUUCACAGGCCCACAGGAGGAGUUCAAGAGCUCAAGUUGAGUUGAACAAGGACAUAACAUAAGCCCCCUGAACUGCUGCUAAUUCUCCCAGCAGAAGGAGAUGACUGUCGGAAACUAGGAGGUGCUUGGUGAUAAUGGAAUAAAGGUUUUCUCUCUGCAGGGCUGUCUGGACCACACAGGGGUCACACUUCGAUCUGAUCAUAACAUAGCUCCACCUGGACAAGCUGUUUCUCCCAACCCUCUUUCCAGCUUGAAUCACAUCAUUCCCUUUAAGAAUUUCCAUUCAUUUUAGUUUCCUGCUAAUUGACAUCUUCACUACAUAAAAUACUGGUAUAAAAAUACUGCGUACCAAGAUUUGAUACAACUAGCAAAUGUUCAUUGGUUUACAACAAACC
rnacentral:lncRNA from 1 species